rnacentral:rRNA from 1 species
UAAUCUACCCUGGAGUGGGGAAUAACACCGGGAAACCGGUGCUAAUACCGCAUACGAUCACGAUAUCUGCGGAUGACGUGAUGAAAGGAGCAAUUCGCUCCAGGAGGAGCCCGCGGCUGAUUAGCUAGUUGGUGAGGUAAUGGCUCACCAAGGCUACGAUCAGUAUCCGGUCUGAGAGGACGGUCGGACACACUGGAACUGAGACACGGUCCAG